AGAGCGAACGCUGGCGGCAGGCCUAACACAUGCAAGUCGAGCGCCGUAGCAAUACGGAGCGGCAGACGGGAGAGUAACACGUGGGAACGUACCUUUCAGUUCGGAACAACCCAGGGAAACUUGGGCUAAUACCGGAUACGCCCUUACGGGGAAAGAUUUAUCGCUGAAAGAUCGGCCCGCGUCUGAUUAGCUAGUUGGUGGGGUAACGGCCCACCAAGGCUACGAUCAGUAGCUGGUCUGAGAGGAUGAUCAGCCUCACUGGGACUGAGACACGGCCCAGACUCCUACGGGAGGCAGCAGUGGGGAAUAUUGGACAAUGGGCGCAAGCCUGAUCCAGCCAUGCCGCGUGGAUGAUGAAGGCCCUAGGGUUGUAAAGUCCUUUCGGCGGGGAAGAUAAUGACGGUACCCGCAGAAGAAGCCCGGCUAACUUCGUGCCAGCAGCCGC
rnacentral:rRNA from 1 species